CCAACUGCUGCACUAAGGCCUCCGCCAUGAUCAUGCUUGACAUCAGCCUCUGCUCCAGUUCCUCUUUCGAGAUGCACUCCAGGCUGCCUGGGGGACAGCUGCCCGUGCACAUGCAACAGUAAAGACUGCUUAGAACUGAACACUAUCGCCCCGAAGAAGAAAGCUGUGUCUUUGAACAAUGCUUCUGCAGCCAAAAGAAAAUCCAUUACCAUGGAAACGAAGCUCAAGAUCAUAGAAAGAUUGAAGAAAGGAGAGACACCAACAUCACCAAGGCUACAGUCAGUCGACUGUGGUGACAAUUAUUAAAGACAAAGCUCGCAUUUUA